GAGGGGAUAGGUCAAGUGGUAGAGAGCAUGCUUAGCAUGCAUGAGGUCCUGGGUUCAACUCCCAGUACCCUCA
rnacentral:tRNA from 1 species